AUGGUACUUUUACCGAAAUAGAAAAGUUAUCCCUCAAAAAAAGGCACUUGAUAGAAGGGUUUUACCGUAUAUUCUCCUGGUUCAAUAAAUGUUAGUCUCGAGUCCAAUGUAACUCGGGAUAAACCUGGAGUUUACACCUAAAAAAAGGGAAAGAUCAGCAAUAUUUUUUAACCAUAAUCCAUGCAGAAUCUCCAAAGGUUUGCCUAAACUGACAAUGACUUUCGAUGGCUAAGUUAAAAAGAAUACAAAAAGCACAACGAAUCACCUUUAUGAUGCCAAAUAAAUACUGCCGGCUUGAGUAUUUUCACUCCAAUAAUGUAAAAUACAUCAUAACCCUUCC
rnacentral:lncRNA from 1 species